UUACAUUAUAUUCAUGCCUCAAAUAACUUUUAAUCAAUGCGUUUUUGCAGUGCAGCAAUGCAUUUUGUUUCUACACUAUGUUUACCAUUUUUAAAGCUAUUAUUAUAUUAUAUUAUAUUAUAUAGAUCCUAUAUUCUAAUUCUAUUUAGGCCUACUAUCAACUUAAUAUGUUAUCAAGUGUCAGGACAAGUUUAUAAUUUUAUGUACUAUGUAAACGCUGUGUAAUGUGUUUGAUGGGCGCGCGCGUUGAACAUUCGACGCGCAUUUAAACUGUGGAGGGAGUUACCAUGGAAACGGGGCGGCAGCUCAGCUGAGAAGUAGCAAAUCUCUCCGUCUCUCACUGUUGUUUUUACUGCUUUCAGAAAUGGUUCAGUGUCAUGGGAAUAAGUCCGUUAGCAUCACAACCGUGAGCUAACAGAGGCUAACUAUAAGAGCAGAGUUGGAGUGGACCUCUUGUUGAAGAACUUCUCCAGGCACUAUGAACCAUCUGACUAAUGCUGUCAUGAAACGCCAUGAAAAGGCAACUGCUGGACACCUGGGACAGGCCAUCAAUUCCAAGUUGGCGUCAAUUCCCUGUUAGAGUUUAGAGUCGUCUAAUAGAGAGGGUGAAGGAAGAACAUCCAAACCCUGCCCCUGCUUCCUUCAAGAUUUUUUAUGGAUUUAUAUAAUGGUGUUUUUUCGUAAAGUAAAGACAGUGGCAAAAUUAGCAUGACACUACUGGUUUGGAUGUUCUUCUUUCACCCUCUCUAUUAGACAACUCAUUGUUUUAAACACAGACUUUAUUUCAUUAAUUUAAAAAAAAAAAAACUUCUCUUCAAGAAUUAGUUUUCAGGUUUUAGCAUCAUCCUUUAGUAUUCAUAAUAGCAAUUUCAGUAAAGUUGCUGGUUUGAUUUAUGUUUUAAUUGUGCAGUUUAUGUGCACUCUGUUCUUUUGUCA
ensembl:lncRNA